rnacentral:lncRNA from 1 species
GAUCAGAAUUAUGGAAACUUUUGGUAAUUGUCGUCAUCUCUUUCAUCCAUCUUUUCUUCCUUAUCGAAUUAUCCCCUUUCAUGGUGGUUUAAUCACUUGUUGCAAUCCUUAUUGAUUGGAGAAACAUGGAUCACAUCAAAAAACGGCCAAGGAAGAAACACACAUGUAGAAUUUAUAAUUAGAUGGGUGCAUAAUUCUAAAACAUGUCCACUUAAUUGAUGAGUUUCAAUUUAGUUUAAGGCUAUGGUCAUUAGAUUUAAUUUAGGUUGGUGCUACAUUUGGUGGUAUUACAUUAGAUUUACACGUUGGUCAUUUGUCUUUGGCGGUACAUUACAUUUUAUUUAGUUUUCUUUCCAGAAGUACAUGCAAACG